CGGAUUGUAGGCUGAAACUCGCCUACAUGAAGCUGGAGUUACUAGUAAUCGCAGAUCAGAAUGCUGCGGUGAAUGCGUUCCCGGGUCUUGUACACACCGCCCGUCACACCACGGAAGUUGGGGCGCCCGAAGCCACUUAGCUAACCCUUUGGGAAGCGAGUGUCGAAGGUGAAAUCAAUAACUGGGGUGAAGUCGUAACAAGGUAUC
rnacentral:rRNA from 1 species